UACGGAGGGUGCAAGCGUUAAUCGGAAUUACUGGGCGUAAAGCGUGCGCAGGCGGUUUGUUAAGUCUGUUGUGAAAUCCCCGAGCUCAACUUGGGAAUGGCGAUGGAAACUGGGCAGCUAGAGUGUGUCAGAGGAUGGUGGAAUUCCCGGUGUAGCGGUGAAAUGCGUAGAGAUCGGGAGGAACACCAGUGGCGAAGGCGACUACCUGGCCUGUUCUUGACGCUGAGGCGCGAAAGCUAGGGGAGCAAACGGG
rnacentral:rRNA from 1 species